rnacentral:rRNA from 1 species
CCUACGGGGGGCAGCAGUGGGGAAUAUUGCACAAUGGGGGAAACCCUGAUGCAGCGACGCCGCGUGAGUGAAGAAGUAUUUCGGUAUGUAAAGCUCUAUCUGCAGGGAAGAAAAUGACGGUACCUGAUUAAGAAGCCCCGGCUAACUACGUGCCAGCAGCCGCGGUAAUACGUAGGGGGCCAGCGUUAUCCGGAGUUACUGGGGGUAAAGGGAGCUUAGAGGGGAGAACAAGUCUGGAGUGAAAUGCCGGGGCCUAACCCCGGAACUGCUGUGGAAACUGGGCAGCUAGAGUGGAGGAGAGGUAUGCGGAAUUCCUGGUGUAGCGGUGAAAUGCGUAGAUAUUAGGAGGAACACCAAUUGCGAAGGCAGCUUACUGGAGCGUAACUGACGUUGAGGCACGAAAGCGUGGGGAGCAAACAGGAUUAGAUACCCGGGUAGUC